GCCAACGACCAACACAUUCUUGCCGCCAUAAGGUUUCCCAUUUUUAUACUGAGUGGAAUGAAUAACUUCUCCAGUCCCGGUAGCACUACUGCAGAAAGAGCACAGUCCUCGAAUAUCCGGCGUAAAAGGGUUGGUCGUUUCCCCACUUGCAACCACCAGAAACCUCCCGGAAUAAUAUUCCUCAAUCUCACGGCCGGGACUUAGUAAGUUGCUAGCCUUAACGUUCCACAUAUUGGUUGCCUCGUCGUAGCUCGCCGAUUCAACCGAUCUUUGGUACCGUAUUGACGGACCGAUGUUGAAAUGGGAAACGUAGUGAUCCAAGUGUUCAAUGAAUUGGGCUCUGGAGACAAACAUCGGAUAAGAAGAAGGGAAUGGCAGGUGAGGGAGCUGACAAAAUUGCUUUGCUAAGUGCAGACGUAGGCGAUCGUAGGAAUAUUUCUUCCAGAUGGACGCGUAACAAUUUUCUCUUUCGAGGAUUACGUAAGGGAUUGAUUGAAGGCUAAGGCAGGCCGCCGUCGCCAGGCCGGACGUUCCUGCCCCUACCAUUAUCACUUCUACUCCCGCCGCUUGCUCUUUCAUUUCUUCUUCUUCUUCUUCUUUUUCAGGUUAAUUUUGAGUUAAGUUGAUUGUUAUUGCCCGUCGGGGGGUGCUUAUUCAAUUUAUAUACUGAAAAUCUUUACGUUAUAUGUACGACUCCAAUCAAUUUUUAUUUUGAUACUAUUGAAGAAGAUGUAUGUUACAAGACACUCGAUUCACGAACUCCACGUAGUCGGACCUUAUAAGGAAAAAUUGUGGUGCAAUUGUGUUAUGGUAUCACAGUUGCACUCAAUCGUUGGAUUUCGAUGGACCUCACUCAUCUAAAUGGAUCUAACGGCUGGAUGUAACUGUGGUACAGUACCACAGUUGCACUGUAGCCGAACCUUAGAGAGAAAUAUUAUGGUGUAACUGGGUACCGUGUCACAAUUGCACCCGAUCGGUGGAUCUCGAUGGACCCAUCCAAAUGAAUCCAUCGACCGGAUGUAACUGUGACACAAUAGCAUAGUUGUACCAUAAUCAGACUUUUAUAUAUAUAUAUAAUAGUUUUCAGGUGCGAGAUAUUUUAAAAUGAGGGAAAAGUUUGAUAAAAUUUUAAAACAAUAGAAUUUAAGUGGUUUAAAACUUAAAACGAUUAAACCUUAUAAUUUAUUCUUUUUCUCAAAUUUUCCGCACCACGAAAUUUUAGAUUGAAACCUCUCUGUUUGUUUGUAUGUUCGCUGCCACCCCACCAUGUUUGUAUGUAUGUUCGCUGCACCCCACCAUGUUUGUAUGUAUGUUCGCUGCCACCCCACCAUUUUAAUUUUCUCAUUCUAUGUGAUAAAUCAAUAUUUUUUUAUGAGUAAUGAUACAGCCACAAACUCUUGUACAAACUUAUUUUGUACAAACUGAUGUGGCAUGAUAAGAUUGGUUGAAUUAAAUAUCACUUGACCCACAUGAUUUAUUUUUAUUAAUUUAUAUUUUCAUUCAACCAAUGAAUUAAUGCCACGUCAGUUUGUACAAAAUAAAUUUGUACAAGAGUUUGUGGCUGUAUCAUUACUCUUUUUUUAUACGUCCUUAGUGUUACGAGAAAAACUUUUUAUGUAGGGCCAAAUGAUUAGAGUACUGCCAAUUUAACAGAUUAUUGAGGUAAUAAUUAAUCAUGCACAAGUAUUUCUCCAAAGAACGCUCAAGGAAACUUGAGCAACAUAGAGUUUUUUUUCUUCUCUUUAAUACAAAAUAAAGACAAGUAGCAUCAUUGUAGUUCUUAAGCGUGCAUUUUUUUUUCUUCUCUUUAAUACAAAAUAAAGAAGUAUUACAUUUGCAUAUAAAGUAACAUUAUCUAGGUCAUAUUACUAUUAAGGAAAAUGCUAUUUGCAUAUGAAAAAUAAAGUAAGGAUACUUGUACACAAAGACAAAAUUAGUAAAAUGAAUAAGUUUGUUUUAUAAUGAAAUGUUUCUUAUCUUUAAUGACCAUGUAUAAUUUUAUGUACAAAUAAUAUUACCUACCAAAUGGUUAUGCUACCUCGAAUGGACGCAAAAUUAUUGGAAUAUAUUAAAAUCAUGCAUUGUAUAACUUUUAUUUUUGUUUAUUUAAUUUUGGCUUAAGAGAGAAGAAACAGAUUAGCAUGCUUUAUUUGAUUGAAAAAGACAUUGAAAAUAGCAUUCUUUGUGUUUCCACAAAUGAAGUUAUCCCCACAGAUUUCAGUUUAUUUGGAAAUUUGACAUCCACAUGUUUAUUUGGAAUUUCGACAUCCACAUUCAACAAUCCUUGAAAACGAAGACGGAAAAAGGAAAUGAGUUGGAAGAUGUUCACAUAAUUUCCCUUUCUCAAUAACUACCACACCUCAUCAAAAUUGAAGUCCCAACUCAGACAUAACAUAUGCUCCCACACAUACGUACGGUCCAGAAAGACUCAACUAGGGUUGGCAAUGGAACAGGAUGGGAUGAGAUUUACCAAUCUCAGUAUCCCAUCCCAUCCCAUAUAUGUAAAUGAGAUGAAAAAAUGUUUCAGUCCCGUUUUUAUAUUUUUUUUUGGACAAAAAUAUAUCUCAAUCCCGUCCCAAAAGAGAUGGGAUCUAGCGGUAUCCCAUCCCAAUUAAAAAAAUUUUCAUUCUUAAUCGGUAAUGAAACGGGAUGAGACGAAAUUUGUCAAUCUCACUCUCGUCCUACAUACGUAAUUGGGAUAAAAUGUUCCACUCCCAUCCCUAAAUUUUUUUAUGAGACAAAAAUAUGUCUCAAUCUCGUCCCAAAUGAGAUGAGAUCCCGCAAGAUCCCAUUUCAUCGGGAAAAAUUGACAUCCCUAGACUCAACCAUAUACUUGUACUCUUGAAUGGAAAAUUUUGCCAGCAUGUUUCCUUGUUUGUUGGGUCAAAAAUAAAAGAAAUUAGGGAAAAAGAAAAAAAGCAAAUUGAAUUUGUCAAUGGAAACAUAAAGAUCACUUGACGUUUCCAAUAAGGUAUUUCAUGACAAACACAUUUUGAGAAAAUCCUUUACACCAGGUCAGAAAGUACUUUUGUAUAAUUCUCGAUUGCAUCUCUUUCCACGUAAGUUACGUUCUCAAUGGUCUGGUCAUUUUAUAGUUCGUACUGUCUUCCCUUAUGGAACAAUUGAGAUUGAAAAUCCUAAAAAUGGUGAUUUAUUUAAGGUCAAUGAUCAAAGAUUAAAACUAUUUUUAGAGUUAAGAACACCAUAAGUUUAGGAGAUACUUUUAGAUGAUCCUGUUUAUCAGGAUUAAUUAAGUCCAUUUUUGCACUCUUGUUUUAUUUUAAUAGUAGGUUUUCUUUUCUUUGUUUGUUUUUCUUUUCUAGUAUUUUUCUUUUCUAAUGUUUUCUUUUCAUUUGACAUUUUCUUUUAAGCUUUCACAGCCCAUCUAGGUGUGUUCUCUCCAACUUUCUUUUUUAUUAUUUAUGUUUUUAUAUUAUUUUUACUAUUUAUUUUUCUCAUUUGUUUGCAUGCAUAUCUUUUGUUUGUGAAACAUUGAGGACAAUGUUCCAAAUAAGUUUGGGGGUGGGAAUAGUGUGUGCUUUGUUUGUUAAAAAAUAAAUAAAAAUUGUGUGUGUGUGUGUGUGUGUUUUUUUUUUUUUUUUUACAUGAAAAGCCAAUGAUAAGAACUUGAUUGACAAUGAAUAUGUUUUUUAGAAAGGGUUGAAUAUUGUCUUAGUUUAUACUUGAUUUUUGUGUUAGUUCAUCUUGAUUGAGAUUUUUUAAACCAUAAGCACUAAUAUCAAUUCUUUCAUAAUUUUGACUUAUAAUUUUGACUUGAAAUUUGAGAUUGACGCAGCCUGAGUUGAGAAUUUUAGAUAGAGUAAAUGAAUGUUUGUCUUGAUUCUUAUCUCUACAAUACAAAAUAGUAUACACGGCGCCAAAGUUAGAAAUAACUACUUAUAACCCUUAAGAGUGAUGCUAUCAUUGAGUAAUUUGGGCCUAUGUACCACAAGUAUGUAGAGAAUAAUCUACCAUGAGAAGAAUGCUACCUUAAGGGGUAGAGUGAAAGCUCCUAACUAUGGUUUUAAAAAAAAAAAAAGAGAAGAAAAGAGAAAGAAAACGGAAAAAAAAAGAAAGAAAAAUCAAGUGCAUGUGUUGAAAUUAAAAAAAAUCAAAAGAAAAUGCACAUAAAAGCCUGUGAAAAAAAAAUUGGAGAUUAAGAUGAUAAGAUUAGUUUGACUUACUCUUUUCUUUGUUUGAGGCGAAGGUUGUUGAUAUUGAAGAUUUUGGGAAUUGAUUUGAUUGAAUUGAUUUCACACACACACACUACAAGAAUCAAAAGAGAGCUGGAAUUGAUAAUUGAAUUAAAGUUGAAAAGCUUGUUGGGUUGACUGAAUGAAACUUUGAAGUGUAUCAUCUAAAUAAGGCUUUCUUUGUUGGGGUGCAACAAAUUGAGACAUAGGUUGUUGGGCAGGAGGAUAUACUUGGUUAUGAGGGACAAAUUGUUGAUUGGGCAUGUUAAAUUGUUGCCCUCCUUGGUUUGACAAAGGUUGAUUUUGUUUCUAAGAAACAUUAGGGUGAUUUCUCUAAUUAUGAUUAUAUGUGGAUGACUAUGGACUAUUGGAGGUUUUCUCAUAUGAUUGUAAGGCAUGUACUUGCUCAGAAUAAGCCUUUUGAUAGGCUGGUAAUGAUGGACAAUUAUGUGCCGCAUGAGACACGUUAGAACAAAGAGCACAAACCUCAUUAGCUACACUAGGAUGAUGAUUCGUUGAUUGGUUCAGAGCUAAGGCAUCUACUUUCCUAGAAAGUGCAGCUAUAGUGGAUUUCACAUCAAAAUCAUCCUUAACUUCAUAUAACCCCUUUCUAGAAACUUGAGAUGAUUUUUCCCUUUGAUUUGAAAAAUCCCACUGUUGAGAAUUUUCAGAAAGUGAAUUAAAGAAAUCCCAUGCAACCCUUUCAUGUAAGUUCAAAAAUCUCCCACCAUUCAUAUACUCUACCAUAUGACGAUUUGACAUGGUUAAACCAUUAUAAAAGCAUUGUAUAAGUCUCCAUUUCUCAAAACCAUGGUGGGGACACUUGAUGAGUAAAUCAUUGAAUCUUUCCCAGCACUCAUAAAAUUGCUCACCCUUUCUUUGAUAAAAAUCACUUAUCUCUCUCCUAAGGGAAUUUGUUUUAGACAUAGGGAAAAACUUGGUGAGGAAUUUAUUACUCAAUUCAUCCCACGUAGUUAUAGACCCAGCAGGAAGUGAAUUCAACCAAGCUUUCGCUUUAUCUUUUAAUGAGAAAGGGAACAUACGAAGCCUAAUUGACUCAUCAUUAAAAUUUUAAAAACGGAAUGUAGAGCAUAUGUCAAGAAAUUUCUUAAUGUGCAAAUAUGGAUCAUCUCUCUCUAACCCAUGGAAAGAUGGUAAAAGUUGAAUGACUGAGGGCUUAAGUUCAAAGUGUGUUGCUGUAGUUUGUGGCAACACAAUACAUGAUGGUUGGUUGGCUGCAAGUGGUGAAAAAUGUUCUCUAAGGGUUUUAUCUACUUGCACUGGUGGUAGUACUGGCAAUAAUCUAUUUAGGUCAUUCAUGACUUGAGAAGAACUAGCUUGACUACUAUCAAUUUUUUACUCUUUUUUAACCAAACGAUUUGUUGAAUCACGUUCCAAACACUUAUAAACUAACUAGACAAGGAAAGAAAGAAAAAUAAAAUAAAUAAACCAACAAAAAUGAGAAUAAACGAAAUUUAAAAAUAUAAGAAAUCAAACAACCAAACAAUGAAUUUAAAGACAAAUAAAAGUUGUUUUUUAAUAAAAAAAUAAAAGACAACCUAAAUUAUAACUAGUGGAAGAAUCAAAUCAACCUAGAUUAAACUGACUUUCUAACACAAUCUCAGACAACAGCGCCAAAAACUUGUGAAAAUUUUAAUAUACUCUCAAGCGCACGAAUCUAGAAUAGAGUAGUGGUAACGAGGUCGAUCCCACAGGGAUUGUUAUAAAUUGAAAAGUCUAAUUUAAAUCUAAAAUUAAUAUUAAUUUUAACCUAGUUAAGCAAAUUGAGUUUUAAGAGAAAUUAAACUAAUUAAACUAAGAAAACAAUUAAAGUAAAUGAGAUUUCAAUAAGACAAAAAUUACCAAGGUUUCGGAAUCCACCACUAUUCAACUAGUAAUUAUCUAAUUAUUAAUUAAUCUCCAAUUUUAAAGUGACAACUCGAAAUCAAUCUAUGUCAUCUCAUGGAUAUAACAAUUAAGUCUAAAUAAAAUUAAUCUUAUGUAGAUUCUUUUUCUGCUUAAUAGUAUAACAUCUAAGAAUCUCAUGUAAACAUAUUGAAUAACAAAGAGUCAAAGUUUCCCUAAGCACUCUAUGUAAACAAUUUAAUGAAAGACAUAAAAUCAAAGACAAUAAUGUAUAAACUUUAUAGAUCCAAGCAUAGAUUUAAUCAAAUAUUAAUCCUAACAAUCAAUAAUGCAUGACAAAAUUGAUGAAAAGAUUUUAUUAACAUUCAAUUAAUCAUGUGAAAUAAAAAUCAUAAUCAUCAAAGAAUAUAUAUAGGAAAUUAAUUAAAUAAAAAUAAUUAUUAUUUCAUUGAAUAGGGUUUCAUCUUUAACCUCAGUAUAAGAAAAUUAACUAGACAUACUUAAAUUGAGAGAAAUAAAGCAAAUAAAAACAGCCAUGGAGAAGCUGAAUUGUUGCUGCUCUUCCCUGCCGAAUCGCGUCUGCGUCCUCCCUUUUGUUUCCGUCCAGUGGCUCCUCCUUCUCCAAAAGCCAAAACUCCCUUUUAUAAUCUUUAAAAUGGGCCCCACCUCUUAAAUCCUAAAGCCAAAAGCCUUGGCCUUUUACUUGAUUUGCUCUCACACAAGUCCUGGGCACUUAGAAUUGCUAAAAGACUCAUUUUUCCAUUUAUAAAAGCCAAGUGUGGGUCCCUUCUUAAAGCUAAAUCAAUUUUUCUCCUUUGUUCGCAUGUACAUGAUGAAUUAAUCUUGUUGAAUUCAGUUCCUUGGCUUGAUUUCCUCAUGCACGUAUGUCUAAUUGCUUCCAAAAAUCAAUUAAUCUUUAAUGCUUACAAAUUGAACUCUUUUAUGCUCUUUUUAUCCAUAAUCUCCAAUUAAUUCCCUAUUCAAUAAAAUAAUUUAAUUAAUUAAAAAUAACAAAUAAAAAUAACUACCAAUUAAAUAAUUAAGGGUAAAAUAUGUAUAUAAAUUAUGCUCAUCAACGAUGUAUGUUAUUUUCGCUCUCUUUGUAAGUUCUCAUUUCUCAAAAGUACUGUAGAGCAUACUGUAUUAGAAUAACAUAGUAUGUAAGCUAAUUUGAAUUUUGUUUUCAACUUAAAUGUUAUAAUGGUAAUUAUAAUGGAAGAAAAUGUAAAUUAUGUUGUUGCUUUUAUGGUGCAUUUAUUUUUUAUUUUUGGAUCAAGGAAUUAGAAUCUCAAAUUGAAAUUAUUGAUAGUGUUUACUUGAUAAAAAGAAGGUGAAAAUAUAAGUGAAAGUGAUGGGCUUUGUUGGACCAAAAAUAAAAUAGGUCCAAUCAAGGCAUAAAUGAAUUUAAUCUCAAUAAGACCCAUCUAAUAAAUUUACUCUCAAUUAAGUCUACAAAGUACUGAACAAAUCACCUAUAAUAAUCCUCCUAAGUAAUAAAGCUUCAAAACCCAAAGGGUUCCAAGAUCCAAGGCCAAAUUUAUUCUAAAGUCCUAAGAUCAAUCCUAAGACAAACCACCUAGGAUAAUCCUCUUAAGUAACAAGACUUCAAAGCCUAAAAGGUCUCAAAGUCCAAGACUAAAAGAUUUUAAAGUCCUAGGAUCUUAUCUUAAGGCAAAACACCCAGAAUAAUCAUCCUAGAUGACGAGGUUUCAAAGCUCAAAAGAUACCGAGAUCCUAGGCUUCUAUCCUAAGACAAACUACUUAGGAUAAAUCUCCUACGUUCUAAGGUUCUCAUCAUCCCAGAGUUUUAGUAAAAAUAACUUAAGGUUAAAACACUUCUUUCUUUAUAUAUAGAGACAAACUUGUAUAUUCAUGUGUCAAUCAACAUGGGCACAAACAAACAAGUGUUGCCAGACGUGAUAAGAAACAUCCUUUAGUCGUGUAUUUUGUUCACUCUCACUGUACCCUCAUCAUGAUUCUCCCAUGUUUUUGGUCAGCAUGCAAAGACAAGUAUCUAGUUUUCGAGUUUGAAGAUAAUUAUCUUGCUGUUUUGGAGGGAGAAAUAGCAGUAGCUGCUUCAUCAUGCAUUCUCAAAGAUUAUGGAAUUCUGUCUGAAAGAUCUUCUGAUCUGUUGGAGCCAUAUGUGGAUCCGUUGGGGGAAAUCCAGGCAAUAAAUCAAGAUUCAGGCGACAGCCCAGUUUCAGAUUUGGAAAUUGGUUUUGACGGACUUAAAUGGGCAUAAUCAUGAGAUGUUGACAGUUCAAUCCAAAGACUCUCUCACGAUCAGCCAUGUGGGAACUGGGAAGACACGGUGAGAGUGAUACAGCCAACAGUGGACCACCAAGUCUCGAUGUCGAGGCUUCCGCUUUCGGGUCCUUUCAGGGACAAAAAAUGGGUUUUUUAACAAUUAUCAUGGCCGGUUUUUCAUUCUCUUUGUGGUUGGGUUUUUUGAGUUCGAACAUCGAGCCAACAACUUCCUGCUUAUCUUUUUUUUAUUUUUUAUGAUUUUUUCAGCGAGAGCAUUAUUGUAGCAGAGGUUGCUAUCAUUAGCCAUGAAAGCAUCGGAUGUAAUGUUGUGACAAUAAAAUUAUUAAUUUUAUUCAUAAUAGAAGUUAAUAAUGGUGAACAUACUGCAUUUUUUAGAGUAUUCAAAUAAAGUAUUUUAAAAUCCGAUCCAGAACUUAUUUUCUUAUAAUAAUUAAAAUUCCAAUCACGUUACAAAUUAACAAAAUUUUAAAUAUUGAAUAAAACUCCCAUCUAAUGUUUAUUUAUUUAUUUUACUUACCGAAAGCGAACAGGAAGAAUCGCAGAAACAGAAAUCAAACAGAAACACAACCACCAAGUGAUUUUUAAGUCAUGAAACACAAUGUUCAUUUCAAGGGCAAAAUCGUCAGACAACUUAUGUCAAACAAACUUUCCACGGCAAGUCUCUAUCUCCUCCUCUGGUCCCGUGUUAUUAAAAUCAGCACCGAUAUUCAGCACACAAUAAGCACCACAGUAAGCCCCGAACGGUGCGUUUUGUGUGCAAUAUAAAAGGCCACUGUUUAAACAAACAAACACAUUACACGCGCACCUCACGCAUGCAUCACUCUCACUCUCAUUCACACCAAACCCAGUCCUCAUUCAAGUUAGAAAUCUGAACAACUAUUUCUCCCAAGGCAUUUUUUGUUUUACUUGUGGGCUGUUCCUCACAGUGUGAAAUCCGUCGGCUCUCUCACGGUAUAUCAUGCUCUUAGUUGUGUGAGGAAUGGAGUUGCAUCUUGGAGACUGACUUCACUCAUCGUCGACUGCGGCAAUCAAUUUCUGCAGGUAUGCAUUGGAUGCGUAUAUGUUGCAGAUUAGGAGUUAUAGAAUCUUUGUUCAAGACGACUAGUUAAAUCCUAGAUGCACUAAUUGCGAUCGAGGAUAUACUUUUUUUUAAUUUCAUUGAAAAUGAAAAAAAAAAAAAAAAAGAACCCAGCCCCCAGGCCACGGCAGCAGGCCAUUUCACUUUAGUUUUAAUUUGCAACCCAUUAUUUUAAUUUAAAUUAAGUUUAAAAAAUUACUUAAUGAAAUGGAAAAAUAAAAAAUCAAGACAGUGAUCGGCAUUUUAUCAGUAACGAUUUGGCAUGCAUUUUUGUCCCAAUUAAAAAAUCAGUACAAUAACACAUCAUUCGAUUUAAUAGAUUGGAAUUGACAAAUCAUUUACACAUUGCCUAAGUAAUAGAAUGUUGUUUAAUUGUCUAGUAUAUGCUGCAGAUUCAGCUGGUAAUUGACACUGCCAUAAAUUAUUCCAUACUUAUUUGUUUAAUUUUCUAUUACAAAGUUAAUAGUAAGCACGAAAUAAAUAAAUAUAUACUGCAAAUUCAACUGGUAUAUAUUAAAUUUGUGUUCACAAUUUGCAUAAUUAGUUAGUUUAGUUUUGUAAGGUUGUGCUGAAUUAUUUGUAUUUUGUUACUUUCAUUUUGUCAAUGUGAAUUAUUUCAAUUUUGUAGAAAUAAAUAAUAUGGAAAAGGACAUCGAAGUUGAAGAGUUGGAGAAAAUUGAUGAGGACGAUGAGCCAAUAAUUGGGAUGUCAUUUGAUAGUGAUGUCGAUUUGUUUAUUUACUUCAAAGAGUAUGGUAAAAAAAAAGGGUUUCCGGUUUUGAGGAGAACUAGUAGAAAUGAUAGUGAUGAGAUUCUUAGAAAUGUGACUUUUGCUUGUGGGAGAAGUGGUGAAACAAGAAGCAAAUAUGUGAAUAUUUUAAAGCUCCAACCUAAUGCAAAAACAGGCUGCAAUGCUAGAUUGGGAGCUGGUUUAGGGGAUAAUGGAAAGUGGACAAUUCAAAGCUUAAAUCUUGAACACAACCAUGUGCUGUUAACUCCAACCAAAUCCAAGUAUUUUCGAUGCAAUCGUAGCCUCAAUACAUAUGCAAAAAAGAAGCUUGAUGUAAAUGAUCGAGCAGGAAUCAGAUUGUGUAAAAAUUAUCAAUCACUUGUUACUGAGGUUGGCGGUCAUGAAAAUGUGACAUUCAUAGAAAGAGAUUGUAGAAAUCAUGUUCAGAAAGAAAGAAGAUUACGGCUUGGAGAUGGAGAUGUUGCUGCUCUUCAAAACUAUUUUAUGAAAGUGCAAGUAGAAGAUAAUAGGUUUUACUUUAGUAUGCAAGUGGAUGAUGAGAGACGAUUAAAAAAUAUUUUUUGGGCCGAGCCAAGGAAUAUGGAAGCGUACAAAGAGUUUGGAGACGUUGUUACAUUUGACACCACGUAUCUUACAAAUAAGUAUGAUAUGCCGUUCGCUCCAUUUGUAGGAGUUAAUCAUCAUGAGCAUUCUAUUUUGUUUGGGUGUGGAUUGAUUUUACACGAAGAUAUUGAGACAUUCACGUGGUUAUUUCGAACAUGGCUAUCCUGCAUGUCUAAUUCAGCUCCUAAUGGAAUCAUUACAGAUCAAGGCAGGGCAAUGAAAGUUGCAAUUCAGAAUGUCUUCCCCAAUACUCGACAUCGGUGGUGUUUAUGGCAUAUAAUGAAGAAAAUUCCAGAGAAGCUAGGGGGUUAUAAAGAAUAUCGUAACAUAAAUAAUGUUUUGCAUUGUGCUGUUUAUGAUUCCCAGAGUGCUGCGAAAUUUAAGGAAACUUGGCACCGCAUGAUUAUAGAAUAUGAUUUGGGGGAUAACGAAUGGUUACGAAGCUUAUAUGAUGAGAGGCAUCAUUGGGUACCUUGUUAUCUAAACAAUACUUUUUGGGCAAGAAUGUCAUCUACUUAACGCAGUGAAAGCUUGAAUGCAUUUUUUGAUGGUUAUGUUAACUCAAAGACUACUUUGAAGCAGUUUGUAGAGCAAUACAGUUGUGUGUUGAAGAAUAAAGUUUAGAAGGAAGUUGAAGAAGAUGUCAGGUAUCUUUCCUAACAAAUGCAAUGUGUAACAUCUUAUGCAAUGGAGAGGCAAGUCCGAGAUGUGUACACUAUUUCAAAAUUUCAAGAAUUUCAGCAAGAAUUGAUUGGGAAAAUGUAUUGCGAAUUUGUCAAUUCUAUGGGUUGUGAAUAUAUAGUUAAAGAGGAUGUCAAAGUUGGAGAGGGUAAAAAGAGAACCUUUUUUUAAGUAUAUUUUGAAAAAGAAAAUGGUGAAAUACGUUGCAGCUGCUCAAGGUUCUAAUUUAGAGGUAUUCUUUGUAGGCAUGUCGUUACAAUCAUGAUCCGCAAUGACGUAGAAGUACUUCCAGAAAAAUAUAUUUUACGAAGAUGGAGAAAAGAUGUGUGGAGAUGCCAUAGUAGAGUGAAAACGAUUUAUGAGCUUCAUAGUUGUACGGAUGAGCAAAAACGAUAUGAGAAAAUGUGUGCUACUUUCGCGGAGGUUGCAAAUAUGGCUGCACAUAAUAUUGAAAGCUCUAAUCUUGUUUUCAAUUGGAUUGAGAAUGUACGGGAGGAUUUAUCAAAGGCAAUUCCUUGCAGAGAUAAUGAAGUAACUGUUGUUACAGGCCAAGGAAGUUGUAGUGUGGAAGUAGAAACAGUUAGAGAUCUAGUAGCUCGGCAUCGUAAAGGUCGGUCGCCUUGUCAAAGAAAAAAAUCUAAUAAAUUUUCAAAAUCUAAAAUGAAUUCCUCACAUUCCAAUGCAAAGGUACUUUUAAAAUGUAUUUUCAAUUUAAUUAAAGUUAAAAAAUUUAUGAGAUAAAUGAUGUUCAAAUGUAUGUUUUGUUGACUUUGCAGGAUGGAUAGGUGAACGAGCAAGUGCUGACUGUGAUCCCAACACACGAGAACAAUGUUGUUACGGUAGGUUUUAUGGAAUUCAUAUGCAUGUCGUUGAUUUUUAUUACUUAAUCAUAGACAUUUUUCUAAUAUAUUAUUGAUCCUUUGUAGGCAUUUCAAAAUUCUGAAGGAAGUUGUGUUGAUAUGAAUAUGUACCCACAUGGAGUUAUGGACUAUUGUAAUGUAAGUUUUUCAUAGUAUAUGUUAUGAUUUUUUUUUAUUAUCGCUUCAUUUAAUGUAUGUUUGUUUUAGGGUCUUAUGAGCUUACAUUAUAUGGUUUGGGAUAAUGUUUAUCCAACACCUACACAAAAUUCUUGUACGGUAAGUGGUGAUAAAUUUAGUAUUUAUUCAUCUUAUCUACUUUAUUUUCUUUUAUUAUAACAAAAUAUUUAAUUUUUCUUUUAAUAGGAACCACAAUUCCAUCCGCAUGGACAUUUUCAGCAGCUACUCUUUCAGCAAGAUAGUGAAUAUGAAGUUGAUAAGGAGUUUCGAAGUGAUUUCGUAGAAUAUCAUUGUUUUUGUUUUUUCUCAUUAAUGUUCGGAUACAAGCCCUUGGCUAUGAUAUGUGAGAUUGUGGAUUUCAUACAUGAAAUUGUUUUUGUUCUAUGCAUGAUCCUUUAUUAGAUUUAUAUGAUGCAACUGUGUUAUUAUUUGGUUGUGUGCUAUUGGAUUGGAAUGGUGGAGGGAUAUACUGGAUGUGUUAUUUUUGAAUUAUAUGCUGGUGGAAUGGUAGAGGGAUAUGCUGCAUGUGUUAUUUUUGAAUUAUAUGCUGGUGGAAUAGUGGAGGGAUAUGCUGCAUGUGUUAUUCUUUAAUUGUGUGCUACUGGAAUGGUGGAGGGAUAUAUGAUAUUAUGUUAUUUUUUCAUUGUAUGCUAUUGGAAUUGAGGGAGAAGCUGCAAAUCUGUUAUUCUUUAAUUGUGUGCUACUGGAAUGGUGGAGGGAUAAAUGAUAUCCUGUUAUUUUUUAAUUGUAUGCUACUGGAAUUGAUCCUCUGUAACUGUAGAUCUGUUAUUCUUUAAUUAUUUCCUAAAGAAUAAAUGUGUUUUUAAUGUGCAGCAAUUAUCAAUAUCUACGAGAAAGCAUGGAACAAUUCCCUUACAAACUAGUUAUGGGGAUUAAAUGACAGAAAGAUGCAAAUGAUAAGGCAAAUUAAAAUGACAACGACAAUCAUAAGCAUAAUCUUUUCUGCCUUUUACAGAAACAUUAGUUUUUGUUUACAUCCACUGAAGCAUUCAUGAUACAAUUCGCAAAUAAAGAAAGAAAGAUAAUAAUACAUUAAUUAAUUACACAACUUAAAUAUAAUACAUAUUAAAACAGUUAUCAUUAUUUGCGAGACGUAUGUUACCAGAAAACUUGGUUGUUGUCUUCGUUGAAGUUCUUGCUCAAGCAACUGAAAUUUAAGAGAUAAGCAUUCGAUUUGAUGGCCCAACUUGCGGACUUCUGCUAACAACAUGUCAAUUUUAUUUUUAUUUAUAAUACGAUCUUCCAUCCCUCUAAAAUCAUUACAUUCACUGCUCUUCCAAUCAUCAUCCCAUUCAAAAGCCCCACAUCCUUUGCACUUCCAAAACCUACGAUUCGGAUUUUCUUUUGUACGUGAAGUUCGCAAGACCUUAUUGUUGUUGCAACAUUUAUCACAAGCUUUCACUUCUGUUUGAAUUUCGCUUGUGCUUGAAGACAUAAGAUUGAACAAAUUCUGUUCAAUAUACACAACAACCCAGAUUCCUUUGCACUUCCAAAACCUAGAUUCAGAUUUUCUUUUGUACGUGAAGUUUGCAAGACCUUAUUGUUGUUGCAGCAUUUAUCACAAGCUUUCACUUGUGUUUGAAUUUCGCUUGUGCUUGAAGACAUAAGAUUGAACAAAUUCUGUUCAAUAUACACAACAACCCAGAUUCCUUCCAGAAAGAAAAAAUGGUAGUCAAUAUAUUAAAAACCAGCUUACUGAACCAACUUUAAAAUUACCAAUUGCAUCUUUAUGCUAAUGACCACCAAUUCAACUUCAACCAUGCAAAGACAAAAAAAAAUGUUAACAUAAGUAUGUGCUAAGUCUAAUUUUCUUUUUUUCUCCCAAAAAAAAAAAAGAAAUACAUCUUACUGCAUUCAUCUCAAAAGUACAACAAAAAGUCUACGCUAAUUCCAUUCAGCUCAAAUAAAAUUAUUCAAUUUCAACUACAAAGAAAACAAAAAGAAGAAAAAUAUGGUAUGUUUGCUACUCAUUUCAAAAAUGUCUAAGAGGAACACAAGAAUAAUCAACUCACCCAUCAGUUGGAAUAUUUGUAGUAGUCAACUUCAAAGGAUAUAACGGAUUGCCAAUUGUAACCAAGAAAUUGCAUGUAAAUAACUAUCAAAAUGCCAUCUCCAGCACAAGACCAUCUACUAAGGCUAUCAAAAUCCCAUCUCCAGCACAAGGCCAUCUCCUAAGACUAUUGAAAAUAAUUGUCUCAUUUGCUCACAAUAUCAACUGGAUUUUCAAAAAUUAAAAAUCAACUCACGGAAAUUUGCCAUUACCUAUACAAUUCGACUACAACAUCAAUCCAAGUGCAAUUAAGCUCACAAUAUCAACUAGAUUUUCAAAAAUUAAAAAUCAACUCAUGGAAAUUUGCCAUUACCUAUACAAUUCGACUACAACAUCAAUCCAAGUGCAAUUAAGCUGACAAUAUCAACUGGAUUUUCAAAAAUUAAAAAUCAACUCACGGAAAUUUGCCAUUACCUAUACAAUUCGAGAGAACAGAGACGAUAGAGAAGAGAGAGAGCAUAUCCACACUGAGAGACCAACGGCGAGAGACCCACGGCCAGAGACCAACGCCGAGCACCACUGCCUGAGAAAGUUUGAGAAUAGAGACGACAGAGAAGAGAGAGAGCAAACCCACGGUGAGAGACUAACGGUGAGAGACCCACGGCUGGAGACCCACGGCCAGAGACCAACGUCGAGCACCACUGCCUGAGAAAGUUUGAGAACGGAGAUCGAAGAGAGACACUGCAAGAGAAACGGUGAGAUUUCUGUGAGAGCAAAUGGAGAAAAGGUGUGUGUCGCGUGAGAUCUAUUGCGCGUGUGUUGUGGUGGCUAUGUGUGUAUCACGUGAGUUGGCUCAUUUUAUACUAUGCCCAAAAUGCACUGUUUGGUGCUUAUUGUGGUGCUUAACAUGGGAAGAGUCUCAUUUUCCUAUUAAAAUACCAAUUUCGAAUCGAGUUCAGGCGCCAGAGCAAUUUUCUCGAACCUGGCCCGAGUUAUUCUUGGGCUUGGGCCGGACGACCAAGUCCUCCUUGAUUAAAAUUUUGAGACUUUUCGAGGUUCACAGGGAUUUUGGCAUCCCUAGUCGAAUCAACACCGAUGUGAUCUACACAACCAGUGUACAUACCAUUUGAUACUGAAACACCAAAUACUUAGAUGUAAUCAGCAACAAUGACACACACACACACAUAUAUAUAUGUAGAGCUAAUAUUAAAAAUUGUUAUUUUAUUAUACUUUUCUUCAGUGUAUGCCAUCUUUUGGGCAGGCAUGGCAUUAAUGAGCAAAAAUGAAGACAACACACACAUUACACACACACACACAGUGUAAUUGAAAUAUCGAACUGGCAAGGACACAAAAUGAAUUUAAUAGUAUAUAUUAUCUCAUUAUGGCAAAUCUAAAAAACACAAACUUAUUUAACAGCUAGCAAAUUUAAAAAUCACGACAGCAUCAAAAAUUGCGCACAAGAAUUUAAUUAACGGGGACUUAAAAUGGAGUUGAUAUGAUCAGCAAUGUUUUGGGCAUCAGCAGCAGCUCCAUAGAGUCCUUUCCUCGACAAUCCAACGCAGUAUAAACCAUUCUUCCCUUUCCAAUGAUUUGGGUAACUUUGCUUUGGAAUUCCAUCAUCGUUCAGCAUAGAAUCAUCCCCCUGCUCAACAACAACAAGAAAAAAAAAAAAAAUCUAAGAUUGAUUUGUACUUUUUGUAACCAUUAACGCGAAAGAGUAACAAAUUAUUAUAGAAACAAUAAAAAAUAAAAUGGUAAAAGGCGAUUUGUUUUUGGGGGAGGCAAAGUGAGAAUCGUCUUCUUUCCAAUAUACAUGUAUAUAAACAUUAUAUUACCUUGAGCCAAACAUUUGUUGAUCUCUUGAAGCCAGUACAGAAAACAAUCGAGUCAAAGUGAUGGGAGUGGCCAUUCUCAAAUAUCACCUCGUUGCCUCUAAUGCUCUCGAUUCCCGGCAAUACCUGUGCAGGAGGAAUUUUAAAUUAUAUCACAAGUAAUACAACAAUCAACUAACUUAGUCAUAUACCACAUGUGUAAUUAAAAAAUUAAUAUAAUUACUACUUAUAUAUUAAUUUUUCAUAAUAUAUACUUAUAAUUUUAUAUUUAUUAUAUAAUUAAUAUAAUAUUUUAGAUGUAUUUUAAAAUUUUUGUUAGUGCGGGUAUAUUUUUACCUGUGUGUAUAUAUAGGGAGAGAGAGGAAGGCCGGCGAGCCCAUUCAAAUAAUAAAUAUCUGAUCACGUAGAAAUUAAUUACCUGAAUCUGCCCAGACUUGAUUUUCUCACAGGUGCCGGCAUCGAUGACCGGGUACUUUCCAUAAGCAGCUUUCAUGAAAAAAGGACCUUCCCUGGGCUUGUGGAUCCCAUACUUGCUCAAAUCUCCAUAAACAAGCCUGCUAAGCAUCACCAUCAAUGUGUCGACCCCGCCGCAUGGAACAUACCUCAAUAAAACUAACCCCAAAUACACCAUCUCCCUCGACAGCACAUGAACCUGAUUAAUUAAUUAAUCGAGUAGAUAGAUAUAUAGAAAUUAAGUAAAAAAAUAUGUGCAUGCCAAGUGAAAUAAUAAUGAAUUUACCCACCGGGCUACGGAUAACUAAAGAGGUUUUGGCGGCAUGGUUGGCUAGAUCCAGUGCAAUUUCCAUGCCAGAAUUUCCAGAGCCAACGACCAACACAUUCUUGCCGCCAUAAGGUUUCCCAUUUUUAUACUGAGUGGAAUGAAUAACUUCUCCAGUCCCGGUGGCACUACUGCAGAAAGAGCUCAGUCCUCGAAUAUCCGGCGUAAAAGGGUUGCUCGUUUCCCCACUUGCAACCACCAGAAACCUCCCGGAAUAAUAUUCCUCAAUCACACGGCCGGGACUUAGUAAGUUGCUAGCCUUAACGUUCCACAUAUUGGUUGCCUCGUCGUAGCUCGCCGAUUCAACGGAUCUUUGGUACCGUAUUGACGGAACGAUGUUGAAAUGGGAAACGUAGUGAUCCAAGUAUUCAAUGAAUUGGGCCCUGGAGACAAACAUCGGAUAAGAAGAAGGGAAUGGCAGGUGAGGGAGCUGACAAAAUUGCUUUGCUAAGUGCAGACGUAGGCGAUCGUAGGAAUAUUUCUUCCAGAUGGACGCGUAACAAUUUUCUCUUUCGAGGAUUACGUAAGGGAUUGAUUGAAGGCUAAGGCAGGCCGCCGUCGCCAG
rnacentral:lncRNA from 1 species